rnacentral:lncRNA from 1 species
CUUGAGCCAAGAGGACCAGCCUUUUAUUUUAUUUAUUUAUUUAUUUAUUUUUAAAAGAUUUUAUUUAUUUAUUUGACAGAGAGAAAUCACAAGUAGACGGAGAGGCAGGCAGAGAGAGAGAGGGAAGCAGGCUCCCCGCCAAGCAGAGAGCCCGAUGCAGGACUCGAUCCCAGGACCCUGAGAUCAUGACCUGAGCUAAAGGCAGUGGCUUAACCCACUGAGCCACCCAGGCGCCCAGGACCAGCCUUUUAUACAACCAGAGACGGGACAAGCAAAUACCCACUUUCUCAUCUCCCUUUUGUCUGUGGUGGCCAUGGAACACAGCUCUGGAUCUUAUACCUCCCAUGCUUCAUUCAAGAAAAAGAGUCAGAAACAGAACUGACAAAAUGUCCACGUGAAGAAUUGAUUGCAGGUGCAAAGGUGUCAUUGUAUCAUUCUCUUCCUUGGUGGAUGUUUGAAAUACUUCAUACAGCAAAAAUCUGCCAGGCGGAGGUUAAAACGUUUGCUUCUCAGACAAAGAGGAUCAGGAUGUUAGCUUUCUUCUUCCCUCUUUGAUUCUGCCUUUAAAACUGGGUGAGAUGGGGCACCUGGGUGGCUCAGUGGGUUGGGCCUCUGCCUUCGGCUCGGGUCAUGAUCUCAGGGUUCUGGGAUCGAGCCCCACAUUGGGUUGUCUGCUCAGCGGGGAGCCUGCUUCCUCCUCUCUCUCUGCCUGCCUGUCUGCCUACUUGUGAUCUCUAUCUGUCAAAUAAAUAC